CACUCAGGUAGCCGUGGCAGGAUGAUGC
rnacentral:sRNA from 1 species